GAUGAACGCUGGCGGCGUGCCUAAUACAUGCAAGUCGAGCGAACGGACGAGAAGCUUGCUUCUCUGAUGUUAGCGGCGGACGGGUGAGUAACACGUGGAUAACCUACCUAUAAGACUGGGAUAACUUCGGGAAACCGGAGCUAAUACCGGAUAAUAUUUUGAACCGCAUGGUUCAAAAGUGAAAGACGGUCUUGCUGUCACUUAUAGAUGGAUCCGCGCUGCAUUAGCUAGUUGGUAAGGUAACGGCUUACCAAGGCAACGAUGCAUAGCCGACCUGAGAGGGUGAUCGGCCACACUGGAACUGAGACACGGUCCAGACUCCUACGGGAGGCAGCAGUAGGGAAUCUUCCGCAAUGGGCGAAAGCCUGACGGAGCAACGCCGCGUGAGUGAUGAAGGUCUUCGGAUCGUAAAACUCUGUUAUCAGGGAGGAACAUAUGUGUAAGUAACUGUGCACAUCUUGACGGUACCUAAUCAGAAAGCCACGGCUAACUACGUGCCAGCAGCCGCGGUAAUACGUAGGUGGCAAGCGUUAUCCGGAAUUAUUGGGCGUAAAGCGCGCGUAGGCGGUUUUUUAAGUCUGAUGUGAAAGCCCACGGCUCAACCGUGGAGGGUCAUUGGAAACUGGAAAACUUGAGUGCAGAAGAGGAAAGUGGAAUUCCAUGUGUAGCGGUGAAAUGCGCAGAGAUAUGGAGGAACACCAGUGGCGAAGGCGACUUUCUGGUCUGUAACUGACGCUGAUGUGCGAAAGCGUGGGGAUCAAACAGGAUUAGAUACCCUGGUAGUCCACGCCGUAAACGAUGAGUGCUAAGUGUUAGGGGGUUUCCGCCCCUUAGUGCUGCAGCUAACGCAUUAAGCACUCCGCCUGGGGAGUACGACCGCAAGGUUGAAACUCAAAGGAAUUGACGGGGACCCGCACAAGCGGUGGAGCAUGUGGUUUAAUUCGAAGCAACGCGAAGAACCUUACCAAAUCUUGACAUCCUUUGACAACUCUAGAGAUAGAGCUUUCCCCUUCGGGGGACAAAGUGACAGGUGGUGCAUGGUUGUCGUCAGCUCGUGUCGUGAGAUGUUGGGUUAAGUCCCGCAACGAGCGCAACCCUUAAGCUUAGUUGCCAUCAUUAAGCUGGGCACUCUAAGUUGACUGCCGGUGACAAACCGGAGGAAGGUGGGGAUGACGUCAAAUCAUCAUGCCCCUUAUGAUUUGGGCUACACACGUGCUACAAUGGACAAUACAAAGGGCAGCGAAACCGCGAGGUCAAGCAAAUCCCAUAAAGUUGUUCUCAGUUCGGAUUGUAGUCUGCAACUCGACUACAUGAAGCUGGAAUCGCUAGUAAUCGUAGAUCAGCAUGCUACGGUGAAUACGUUCCCGGGUCU
rnacentral:rRNA from 1 species